GACGAACGCUGGCGGCGUGCCUAACACAUGCAAGUCGAGCGGGGUCCAUCCAGUGGCAACACUGGGGAAGACCUAGCGGCGAACGGGUGAGUAACACGUGAGAAACCUGCCCUGAAGUCUGGGAUAACCCGAGGAAACUCGAGUUAAUACCGGAUGCCCCCACCGAGUCGCAUGGCUUGGUGAGGAAAGAUUCAUCGCUUCAGGAGGGUCUCGCGGCCUAUCGGCUAGUUGGCGGGGUAACGGCCCACCAAGGCAUCGACGGGUAGCCGGCCUGAGAGGGCGAACGGCCACACUGGAACUGAGAUACGGUCCAGACUCCUACGGGAGGCAGCAGUGGGGAAUAUUGGGCAAUGGGGGGAACCCUGACCCAGCGACGCCGCGUGGGUGAAGAAAUCCUUCGGGAUGUAAAGCCCUGUUGUAUGGGAAGAGCGGAAGACGGUACCAUACGAGGAAGCCCCGGCAAACUACGUGCCAGCAGCCGCGGUAAU
rnacentral:rRNA from 1 species